rfam:Mucor circinelloides f. lusitanicus CBS 277.49 MTCCIscaffold_06, whole genome shotgun sequence.
GCUCUUUUAGCUCAGUUGGUUAGAGCGUCGUGCUUAUACUCACCCUAUACUAAAGUCACGCGAAGGUCGCGAGUUCGAUCCUCGCAUAGAGCA